AGAAGAUUAGAAAGGAAAAUGAAAAUUCCUUGAUUGUUGAUGUGACUAGCCUUCAUGAUACAGAGAAACCUGAUCAUCAAGAGAGUCAAGGAUAUUUUAAAACACUUUCAGAAACAAACUUUUCCAAAGUCGACAUAAAGGAUAAUUUCCAGGCCAAUACAAGUCCUAUUUUGGAUACUACAUCCAGUCAUUCUUGAAGAAUUAUUUGAAUAAAACACCACCUCAAAGAGAAAGCUUCGUUAGACACUUCUUCAGAGCUGAGACCAUGUCUGGAUUUUCUGUUCCUCAUUUUCAUUUUGGCUAAAGCUAAUCUAACUGAAGACUGUAUUUCUUCAUUAGUAAUGCUUUAUAGAUGGCUUUGCUUAUUUCCUUCCAUUUAAGAAAGAAAAAAGAAAAAAAAAACACAUGGCUGUUUCUGGCUUAAAUAGGAAACAGGUCAUUUGAAAAGGUACCUGGGAUUUCUGCUAGACUGCAAGCUUAAUAAUAAUCAGCAGUGCAAUAUGACAACCCAAAAAAGCAAAUUGAUUUUAGAUUGCAUUAACAUUGGUGGGCUCCUUGGCCAAACGUAUCUGGAAUGCAGUAUUCAGUUCUGGGUAACACAUUUUAUGAAGGACAUUGAAAAGAGGCUGGUGACUGGGAUGGUCAGAGGCCUCAAGAUUACACCACCUUUGUAUUUCAUCUCUCUGGAUUCUGACCCUUGUUCCAGCUGGCAGAGUUAUUUUGGGAGGCAGCAUGACUCAUCUGACAUAUUAGCCAUCUUUCUCCAAUUCAUGUUAGCGGCAGAUUUUAUAAGCAUGCAGUCUUUGUCUUCAUAUUAGUCACCCAUAAAAAUGUUCAGUAGAAUAGGGCUGAGAGUAAUCAUUCUUUUGGUCCUCUCAUUAAAGCAGUUAUGAAUCUAUCUAAUUACAUUAUAAUCCUGAGCACAUUUCUCCAUCUAAUCAACAAAGACAUGUGGGCCUUUAUCUAAUGCCUCACUACAAUUGAGUUAAUCUAUGUAUAUGCUAUUUCUUCGAUCUUUCAGCCUGGUAACUCAGUCUUGGAAGGAAAUUAGGUGAUAGGUGGCCUGUUCAGACUGUGUCUAGAGCAUUCAGUUCAGGGUGCUAUAUUUUAGGAAGAAUGUUCACAAGUUGGAGAUAGUGUGGCAUAGUAUAUAAAUACCUGAUCUCAAAACCAGGAAGACCUGGGUUCAGUCCCGCUUCUGACACAUACUGGUUUUGUGAUGCUGGACAAAUUUCUUAAUCUCUCAGUAAUCCGGACAACUCUCUAAGAUUACAAAUUGUAGAGAUGGUACUGACCUGCACUGGUAGAAUGAGUUUCCUCUAUACCAGUACCAUACCAGUACUCCCUAUACUGAGAAUUCCCUAUACCAAUGAAGUUAUAGGCCUAGUCCCCAUACCCUCUCUUAUUGACAAGUUAAACCAUGUCCAUUGGGGAAGGGGUGGUGGUGACCAGAAUAUAAAUAGGAAAGAGAAAAUUUGGAGUGGGUCUAUGAACAUGAAAGCUGUCUUCAAAUAAUUUGUUCUACUUGGCCCCAGUCGGCGGAAGUAGAAUAAUGUAUGCCCUCACCACAGGGCAUUAAACAAACUCCUUUUUGGAAAUAUUAUAGAGAGAAUUCAUAUUCAGAUACAGUCUGAACUAAAUGGCUCUAAUAUCCCUUCUAACUCUGAGAUUCUGUGACGUGGAAUGAAUCUGGCAUUUUGUUUUUCUUAGUAAACCUAUUCAUCGUGCUUAGUGAUUACCAUGUCUCUUUACAAAUGUUCACAAACCAUCUACUUAAUAAUCUGUUCAGAAAUUUUGUUGGGAUUCAUAGAUGUAUAAUUUGAGGAAUCUGUUCCCAAAUGUUCUUGAAAACCAGGACCAUAUUUGCCCAUUUCUAGUCCUAGAGUACCUCGCUUGUCUCCAUAGUUUCUCAAAGUUCACUGACAACAGUUCAGCAGUGGUAUCUAUGAGUUUUUUAGGGCCUCAGUUUCUUUAUCUUUAAAAUGACUGGGUAGGAUUAAAUGAUUCCCUAAGGUCCUUCAGCCUAAAUUCUGUGCUUCAGGCUUGGGUUCUAGACCUCACUCUGCCAUUUUCUAGUCAUUUGACUUUAGAUAGGCCACCUCUCUGGGUCUCAGUUUUCUCAUAUAUAUAUUUCUCUAUA